rnacentral:misc_RNA from 1 species
GAAAUGCGAUACGUAAUGUGAAUUGCAAAUUCAGUGAAUCAUCGAGUCUUUGAACGCACAUUGCGCCCCCUGGUAUUCCGGGGGGCAUGCCUGUCCGAGCGUCAUUUCUGCCCUCAAGCACGGCUUGUGUGUUGGGCCCCGUCCUCCGAUCCCGGGGACGGGCCCGAAAGGCAGCGGCGGCACCGCGUCCGGUCCUCGAGCGUAUGGGGCUUUGUCACCCGCUCUGUAGGCCCGGCCGGCGCUUGCCGAUCAACCCAAAUUUUUAUCCAGGUUGACCUCGGAUCAGGUAGGGAUACCCGCUGAACUUAAGC